GGGGCACGGAGCUGCGGGAGCAGAGCCCUGCAAGGGCACGCAUCCACGCGUGCUGUGCCCUGCUCAUCCUGGGGACAGCUUCCACCUUGGGUGCCAUGAGCGGGUGACCCUGGGAUGCUGGCACCGGUGCCCUUCCAAUGGAAGGGGAGGCGGUGUCCCAUGGUUGGCAGCUGCACUGAGGGGAUCCCUGCCCUGCUGGGGAGCAGGGAUUGAGCGCAGCACCUGCUGCAAAUGGAAAACAAUCACUUCCCACACGAAAAUAACUGAUGGGCUGCAUUAACGAGGAGAUGUCUGAGGAAUUUCAAUUAAAACCCAGCGACACUGACAAAGGCAAUGAGAUUGAAGUGUUCAAAGCAGCAGAGAAUGCUGGGAGAGAUGCCAGGCCUUCGAGCGGUUGGGAGAACUUAACCUUGGCUGGAGGCACUGCCAUAAGUGACAGCAGAGACAAGCUGAGCCACAAGCAGAGCAUGGCAGGAGCCCGCAUCGGCUUCCCUGCAGCUGCCAGGCCACCCGGUGAAGAAGAUGAGUAUCUUCUAAGGCAGAUGAUAUUGUCUUUGGUGGGAAGAGCAUGUCCUUACAGCCUCUCCCCUGCAGGGACAGCUCUGCUCUGCCUGAGCCAGUGAUGGAACCAGAGAGCAGCGGGCUCAGGCUGCUGGGAAGGGCAUUGCCAGGCACCCCCAAGGGGAGACCAUGAAGGUAUCCUUUCUUGUCUCAACCACAGGUUUGGAAUUUGCCAGGAAAGGAUCUGCCUGAGUCAGGCAGGAGGCAGAGAGCUGCGGUCCUCCAUGUGCUGCAGCACGGCAGAGCUCUCAGGCUGACGGCCCUAAUGGGGUUGUGCUGAUGGGCUGCCUCAAGAAACACAUCCACUUACACGGAGAUGUAUGGGAGUAACAACCGACCGCUGCCGGCCCUGCUCAGAGCCUGCCAGAUCCUGCAGCCCUGCUUCCCCGAGGCACGCUGCAUUUCCAGGCGUGUGUUGUUCCAUUAAGCUAUUUUUAGCAAACACAUUCCCCUUAUUUCAGCAGCAGUUAUCUGAUUAGUUCCUGUAACUAUAUGAGGAGCAACAUUUCCAGGCAUGACUGAGAGCUGUGAGCAGGCUGUGCCUCUUCACAUGCAUUUUCUCAAAGGGAGAAACUUGCCGAGGCUGCUCCUCCCGCGGUGCUCCCAUGGUUGCACGGCUCCAAGCACUGGCACUGCAUGCAGCCGAGCUCUGCAACACGCGACCUUUGGCAGAGCAGCAGCCAGCAGGCAGUGUCCCCUCUGCCACCUGCGAUGAGGGGCCAUCCCUGUGCCGUGUUGCUGUGAUGCAGCGGCGAUAAGCAGCUGGCUUUGUUUGCUCUGAGCACGCGGCUCUUAAAGAUUUCUAUCGUCAUCGGCUGGUGGCGGGGAGGGGGGAAAAACAAAGUCUCUUUGCUAAAGCAGCACUGGUGCUGGGGAGGCUGUGCACCCUCUCCCCUGCGCAGGGAAUGCCCUGUGCCAGCUUUGUUGCUGCACGGGAACAAGCUAAAAAUCCCGUGGAGCCAUCGGUAGCUCCAGCAUUGUACUUUGCUCCCUCCGCCACUAUCGACCACAGCUGUCCUGGAAAAUCAGAUUAUAGAGCAAAGCCUUGGCAUCAAGUCUGCU
rnacentral:lncRNA from 1 species